rnacentral:RNase_P_RNA from 2 species
UGGAGUGGGCGCAUGAUCGCCUGCCGCGCUUGCGGCAGGAGGAAAGUCCGAACUCCGCAGGGCAGGGAGGUUCGUAACGCGAACUGGGGGCGACCCUGAGGAAAGUGCCACAGAAAAUAUACCGCCGGCCUCGGCCGGUAAGGGUGAAAUGGUGGGGUAAGAGCCCACCGCUUCCAUGGCGACAUGGAAGGCAUGGCAAACCCCUCCCGGAGCAAAACCAAAUAGGAAAGCGUUUUAGGGCUGCCCGCCCAUAGCUUUCGGGUAGGUCGCAAGAGGUGCCGGGCGACCGGCAUCCUAGAUAAAUGAUCAUGGCCUUGCCUUUGGGCAGGGUACAGGAUUCGGCUUAUAGCCCACUCCAAUCU